GAUGAAGAACGUAGCGAAAUGCGAUACUUGGUGUGAAUUGCAGAAUCCCGUGAACCAUCGAGUCUUUGAACGCAAGUUGCGCCCGAAGCCUCGGCUAAGGGCACGUCUGCCUGGGCGUCACGCAUCGCGUCUCCCCCAAACCGCCAAGGCGGAGGGGAAGGAAGAUGGCUUCCCGUGCCUCACCCGGGCGCGGUUGGCCUAAAUUUGGAGCCCGCGGCACUUAGCUCUCGCGGCGAUAGGUGGUGAACAAGGCCUUGGCCGUGCAAACAACCCGCUGCGAAGCUCUAUGUCACGUGCGCUCGUCGGACCCUUUGAAGUUGCCUUUGGUGACUUAAAACCUUUGCGACCCCAGGUCAGGCGGGGCUACCCGCUGAAUUUAAGCAUAUCAUAAGCGGAGGA
rnacentral:misc_RNA from 1 species